GACGAACGCUGGCGGCGUGCCUAACACAUGCAAGUCGAGCGGGGGAUGAUGCUUCGGUAUUGUCUCUAGCGGCGGACGGGUGAGUAACACGUGGGCAACCUGCCCUAUAGUGGGGAAUAGCCAUCCGAAAGGAUGAUUAAUACCGCAUAGAGCGGAGUCUGGGCAUCCAGGCACCGUGAAAGAUUUAUCGCUAUAGGAGGGGCCCGCGCCCAUUAGCUAGNGGUGAGGUAAGAGCCCACCAAGGCGACGAUGGGUAGCCGAUCUGAGAGGAUGACCGGCCACAUUGGAACUGAGACACGGUCCAGACUCCUACGGGAGGCAGCA
rnacentral:rRNA from 1 species